UAAAAUCAACUACCAUUCUUCAACCAAUCUUCAACUAUCAACUUCUCUCUCUAACUCUCACUCUCUCUCAACUCUCAAAACUCUAUCAAACUCCCUCUAAAUUCCCAAUUUCGAUCAACAUAACAACAGACACUCUCCAAGGCCAAAACCGGCCAAAAUUAUUGGAAAUCCACAUAGUUUUCCGAUGACUGCCUCCCCACCCCACUCGAACUUCGAACAAACUACAUACCCCUCUUGUUUUCGACCUUCCAAGUCCGUUGGAGGUGUAAUUUUCAUCAUUUAAGAUGUCGUUUCAGCUCUAUCCAAAACCGCUCUUUUCAAGCUUUUCCUGAUCUCCGGUGAGCCUCCUUCCUCCACGACUUUGAUGAAUCGUGCCCACACUCUUUGACGGGCCACCCACUACCCUCACUCUUCCUGUGCAAGGAGAUCACGGUCCAAGAGCCACUCCAUCGGGCAAAACCUCAUCCCAAGCCUCUUCCUCACGCGGGUCUCUCUCUUUUCCUGGUUUUCCUUUUUUUUUUCUCCUCCGGUCAGUGCAGGGUCCAAUGGUCCACACACCACCUCUGACCUCACAGGGGGUUCCUAAGCUGCUGUAAACUACCGUGAGCAGCAGCUACACCCACCUCCCAAUUCCCGUUCACCUGAGGGUCUCUCUUGGCUCCCUCAUAGCCACGGGUGGCAGCAGCCUCUUUAGGGUUACUUCAAGCUUUCAAAUCACCUCAUACACGCCCUGAGGCAUAGGAAACGGUCUAAAUCGGGGUGAGGAGACCAAACUUGACCCAUGAUGGGCCAAGCAGACCUCUCAGCCAUACCCUUGAGGGUGUGGCGGAGAGCCCCUCGGGCACUCACAAGUUGGGUAGUAGCCUCCCCGUCUCAGUCCAACGUUGUUUCUUGGUUUUUACAUUACCUUAUUUUCCAUGUUGAUACCGUUUUAUUGAUUCUCAUUAAAUUUCGUGUUGCAUGCCUCUUUACCAUGGCGGUACCGACUUUAUUCAUGUGAUUGCUCUUUGUCCUGUUUAAUCGAUGAUGCAUGCGAGAAAUGACUUGAAUUGAAGUCGGGAAAAUCACAAGAACCCGAGUCGGGUCAAGGAGUCUCUCGGCAUUACACAUGAGGGCGGGGCCAAGAGCCCCUUGACCCACCUCGGGUCCAAGGUGACCUCUCUUGCCUCGAUUCAACCUCGUUUCUCGGCUCUUGUGUAA